AAUCAGGAAUCUUGAUUGCUGCAAGAGGUCCUCCUGUGGAAGAGUGUGCCCUCUGAUCCUUGCUCCCCAUUCCUCUUCCUCCGCAGAUGACAAUCAACAAUCGAUCUUCACUAUUGUUUUAGGCCUGGGGCUUCGAAGCAAAAUGACUGUAGAGUGGACAGUGGAUUGAACACAGCAAAGAUACCUUGCCCAAAACCUUUUAUGCCACGAGGUCACGAUCUUGUCAUGGGUUUUAUUGGUAAAGACAACAUGUAAGUAUGCUCAGAAAA